UACGGGGGGGGUGAAGCGUUGUUCGGAAAUUAUCUUGGGACGGUAAAGGGCUCGUGAUGGCGGCCAACUAAGUCAGACGAUGAAAUCCCUCAGCUUAACUGGGGAACUGACGUCUCGAUACUGGAUGGCUUGGAAUUUGGGGAGAGGGAGUGACGGAAUUCCAGGUGUAGCGGUGAAAUGCGUAGAUAUCUGGAGGAACACCGGUGGCGAAGGCGGCAUCCUGGACCAACAUUGACGACUGAGGAGCGGAAAAGCCAGG
rnacentral:rRNA from 1 species